rnacentral:rRNA from 1 species
UACGAAGGGGGCUAGCGUUGCUCGGAAUUACUGGGCGUAAAGGGAGCGUAGGCGGACAGUUUAGUCAGAGGUGAAAGCCCAGGGCUCAACCUUGGAAUUGCCUUUGAUACUGAUUGUCUUGAGUACGGGAGAGGUGUGUGGAGCUCCGAGUGUAGAGGUGAAAUUCGUAGAUAUUCGGAAGAACACCAGUGGCGAAGGCGACACACUGGCCCGUUACUGACGCUGAGGCUCGAAAGCGUGGGGAGCAAACAGG